UCAUAUUAUGUUGCUAUUUCCAUAUAGCAGUAAUUUUUGCGAUUAAAGCCUUGUCUUUGUAAUUGUCGGAAAGAAUGACGUCCAAUAGAUAGCGAUCUUACGAUCGCUACUACGAUCUAAUUCUUACGAUCAAAAUCGUGAAAUCUAAUUACCGCGAUCAAAUGUACGCGCUUGAAUCGCGGCAGAUCAUCUUCCACGGAUCGCCCACACGAUUUUCUUCAAAAACGUUCACGUUAUCGGAUAUAUAUGUGCAUAUUUCUUUUUCUUGUUCUUUCCUUCCUUUAACUUGUUUUACAGCUACUCGGUUUGCAUAUUUAGUUAGUUUAUCUUAAUUAUUAACAUUCCCUUUCACAUACACAUAUAAACACUGUCGCACGACUUUGCUCGUACACUCCGCGCCACAUAUCGUAUUUGUACCUUCUUAGUUCGUCUACGAUUCUAUAAAAAUGUUACAAAAGACCAUCUUAUUUCUACCACCUGUUAGAUCGAAUAAUUCGGAAAUAUAUCGUAAUACAGUGAGAAACAAUGAAAGAUCAACCAUUAUCGUGCCUCGUAUCAUCAUAGUCGACAGAUUCGUUUACUUUUGAGUGUCUUAUCGUUUAGACAAGCGGCUGGACAAAGUAGAUCGUUUCUUCGCGUCGUCUCGCAGGCGAAACGAAAACAUUGAGACUAUCGCUUGUAUAAUAGAAAUCGGCGCUGCCUCGGCACUGUGCUGUGUUUUUAUAUUCUUUUCUGUAGGAUAAUUUAUGAAGCAUUCGUCAAGUUUCACCCUCGGUUUAUCCAGUAUCUCACUAAUAGAUUGUUUCGUUCCUUCCACCUUGUUUGUUUCGGCAAGUGCAAACCUUACAAUUCUCUUUGAAUCCUUUUAUAACGAAUUAAUAUUUUCGCAAAAUCUCUUCUAAAUUGGCUAAAGCUACCAGUGAUUGGAAGGGUUUGAAAAUUUUAUAGCUAAAAUGUUCUCAGGCGAGUAAGAGCAGGCUUCUCCCUUUAAAGGUUCCAGAAAGGAUGUUACAGCACUUCCCCGAUUUACCAAUAUUCGAAUAUUAUAUCAUAAAUCGUCGUGCUGAAUUUGUCCAUCAGCUUUCGCAGGUUUUAAUGUACAGAUGAGAAUAUUUUUCGGCGUAUAAACGUCGUGCCUUUGUGCUAUUGCCACCUACCGACGGUAGCAAAAAUGCAUGUACGAAUGUUCUCUAACUCUAUACAUGUUAUAAUAAAAAUAUAAAAUAUACGUAUCUUUAUUCCAUUAGGGUCAAAUUUACGUGGCAUUGUGAUGAUAACUUGUAUGUAAAAA